rnacentral:rRNA from 1 species
UACGUAGGGUGCAAGCGUUAAUCGGAAUUACUGGGCGUAAAGCGUGCGCAGGCGGUUGUGCAAGACCGAUGUGAAAUCCCCGGGCUUAACCUGGGAAUGGCAUUGGUGACUGCAAGGCUAGAGUUUGGCAGAGGGGGGUAGAAUUCCACGUGUAGCAGUGAAAUGCGUAGAUAUGUGGAGGAACACCGAUGGCGAAGGCAGCCCCCUGGGUCAAAACUGACGCUCAUGCACGAAAGCGUGGGGAGCAAACAGG